rnacentral:rRNA from 1 species
UACGAGAGGCCCAAACGUUAUUCGGAAUUACUGGGCUUAAAGAGUUCGUAGGCGGCGCAGAAAGUAGGGUGUGAAAGCCCUCGGCUCAACCGAGGAAUUGCGCUCUAAACUACUGUGCUUGAGGAAUCUAGAGGUGAGCGGAACUGAUGGUGGAGCGGUGAAAUGCGUUGAUAUCAUCAGGAACACCGGUGGCGAAAGCGGCUUACUGGGUCUCUUCUGACGCUGAGGUACGAAAGCUAGGGUAGCGAACGGG